AGUAUUUUCCUUCUCCCAGCAGCCCUGUUAGAGCCUUCGGUUGUUAGACCCAGCCUGCUUUUACAGCCAAGGGGAGAAAGACACAAGAACGAGACCAGCAUGUAUCAUCCUGCAGAGCACCACCACUGCUAGGCCUUCAUCAACCUCUGCAAGGAGCACCACGGAUGCUUGUUUCCUGCCUGCAGCGUUGGGAAGAGAGCAGCAAGGCUCGAGGACACCGGUGAGGACGGCAGACCCGCAGGGCUCCCAAAUGCUUGCUCCUGAACCGCUCUCACCGAUGUUCCGAAUCACCUUGCACAUACAGUGAAACUACAGGCAGGAGCUCGCUAAGCAAAUGAGCCCCUCCUUUAAUUCCAUUUGCUUACGCUGCUUAUUUUUCUCCCGCAUAAUUAUUUUAAAAGGAAAAUUUAAUUUUGUUUAAUGGGAACAAAGUUUAACACUCCAUAAGCUUUGUCUUCUGCAGCCCUCCAUCUGGUUAGCUUUUUUCCUUUAAUUAUUUUUAAACUGGCCCAGUAAAUUGUGUGUGUUUAAGAGGCACUUCUCAUUAAGAUGAAAUACUUUGAUCUCAUAGGAUCAUCUCUUUUUAAAGACAUGAUGAUAUACCACAAUUUUUUCCCCAACUAACCCAAUUUCAAUAUGAAUCUAUCCCCCACCUGCCCUGCACAGGCGGGGACGUGUGCUGCAUUGCAAGCUGGAGGCAGCAAUCAGAGCUGGCAGGGAGGGAGAAGGGGUCAGGAAAAGAGCUCUGAGUGGGCACAGCAGGGACCAUUAAGAAGUAAGUGGCAAAUCAUCUCAGGAAAAGGAAACAUUUAAUUUUUAUUUUUUAAGUACAGAUGGUGUUGGGGGGGGGAGAAAGGCUGCAAGAAGACCAAGAGACAUGGGUGCACUAUAUAUAGAUGUACAGCUGUUUCCUUCAGGUGUUAUAACUCAAAAACGUAGGUUGAUUAAUUUUGAAAGUUGAAAUGUAUAGCAGAUUCUGAUUACAUCUGAGUGUCUAUAAUUUAGCUACUUAGUAAAAUUAACUUGACGUUUUUAGUGAGCUGUGAGGACAAUAAUGUGUGAAGAGACUGAAGAGCAAGUUUGACUGCAUGCUCUUCCCUUACCACCCCCCCUUUUCAAUUUGCAAAGUUUAUUUUUAACUUUUUCAAUUUUUUCCAGCAUCUUUCCUCUAAUACAGACAAAUGAGUUUGCUUCCCCCUGCUGUCAGCUGAAGACAGCGUUUUGGUUUUGAGCCUUUCUCGUGAUGGACUGGAGGGUGCAAGUGCUCAGCAGCCAGAACCUGGGACGGAGCUUCGGGCCAGCACAGACUUGGGGACCAAAGAGAGGAAGGCAGUGUUUCUGCCACCAGCAAACUGCCUUUUGAUUGUGACUCCUUGAAAGCAAGUUUCCACCCUCUGAACUCAGCCCUGACAAGCACUUCUGCAGCACCCAAUAACUGCACCUGGUAAGGGCUGGAUUAAUCUCAGUCAUGGGCAGGAACGAAGUGAUCCAUGCCAGCCAUUAUGAAGAUUUCAAUCCCUUGAUGGCUUUGUUCAAUAAGUGCUCAGAGUUCUGGCGUUUCAAACAAAACAACACAAACAGCUUGGUAUUUUAAAAUUUAAUGGUCUGAUUUUGAGUAGUAUUUUCAGACCUAGCAUCAGUCUAAGGUUUUAACAGGGCAGUGAGAAAGCUCAGAAUCAAACAACUUCCAGAAGAAUCUUCCAGGUAAGAUUAAAAUGAUUUAAAAUAUUGAACGUUUUACAUAUUAUUAUAAAAUGCUGGCAGCUGGCAGAACUAUUUUUCUUUAACCUACAUUCUGUAAUUUCAGCAGUGGAGAAACAGGUUGGAAGGUGGGUUGUGCUCUUGAUUCUUUCAGGACCUGUUUGACUACAACAACAAACAGCUGCAUAACAUACAAACAUAAAAUUUCAAACAAGUCAACUUAAAAAAAAA